ACAAAAACAUGUCUUAAUGGUUUAUUUAUAUUAAGUCUAACCUGCCCAAUGAUAUUUAUUUAAUGGCUGCAGUAAUUUAACUGUACAAAGGUAGCAUAAUCAUUAGUUUUUUAAUUGAGGACUAGAAUGAAAGGUUUUUCAAAAUAUUUACUUUAUUAUAAUAAUAAAUAUAAAUUUAUUUUUUAGUAAAAAAGCUAAGAUUUUUAUAUUAGACGAUAAGACCCUAUAGAUUUUUAUAAUUAGAUUAAUAAUUAUAAUAAGAAUUUUAUUUAGUUAUUUAAUUGAUUUAUUUUAUUGGGGUGAUAGUAAAAUUAGGUUAAUUUUUAUAUAAUUUAUACAUUAAUUUAUGAUUAUUUGAUCCAUAAUAAUGAUAAAAAAAUUAAAUUACCUUAGGGAUAACAGCAUAAUUUAUUUGAAGAGUUCGUAUCAAUAAAUAAGAUUAUGACCUCGAUGUUGGAUUAAGAAUAAUAUUAGGAGUAGAAAUUUAAUUAUUAAGU
rnacentral:rRNA from 1 species